GAUGAACGCUGGCGGCGUGCUUAACACAUGCAAGUCGAACGGAAAGGCUCCUGCUUGCAGGGGUACUCGAGUGGCGAACGGGUGAGUAACACGUGGGUGAUCUGCCCUGCACUUCGGGAUAAGCCUGGGAAACUGGGUCUAAUACCGGAUAGGACGAUGGUUUGGAUGCCAUUGUGGAAAGUUUUUCGGUGUGGGAUGAGCUCGCGGCCUAUCAGCUUGUUGUUGGGGUAAUGGCCUACCAAGGCGUCGACUGGUAGCCGGCCUGAGAGGGUGUACGGCCACAUUGGGACUGAGAUACGGCCCAGACUCCUACGGGAGGCAGCAGUGGGGAAUAUUGCACAAUGGGCGCAAGCCUGAUGCAGCGACGCCGCGUGGGGGAUGACGGCCUUCGGGUUGUAAACUCCUUUCGCUAGGGACGAAGCGCAAGUGACGGUACCUGGAGAAGAAGCACCGGCUAACUACGUG
rnacentral:rRNA from 1 species